GGAGCUGCUACCUCGUCACCAGUAACAUGAAGGUCCUCGUACUGCUCGCUCUCGUCGCGAUUGCGGCUGCCUGGCCGAACCUCGGUUUCCAGGCGGAUGGUGCAGGCGUGUCAGAUGCCCAGAAACAGCAUGACGUCAACUUCCUGCUUCACAAGAUCUAUGGGGAAAUCCGUGACUCUAAUCUAAAAGCUAAGGCUGAUUCCUUUGACCCGGAAGCCGAUUUAUCCCACUACAGUGAUGAUGGUGCAGCUGUCCAGAAACUUAUGAGAGACCUGAAGGAUCACAGACUUCUCGAACAGAAGCACUGGUUCUCUCUCUUCAACCCAAGACAACGUCAGGAAGCACUCAUGCUUUUCGACGUUUUCAUUCACUGCAAGGAUUGGGAUACAUUUGUCAGCAACGCUGCCUACUUCCGUCAGCGUAUGAAUGAAGGAGAGUUUGUCUAUGCCCUGUAUGUUGCAGUCAUCCACUCACCUCUGGCUGAACACGUUGUACUUCCUCCACUCUAUGAGGUCACACCUCAUCUCUUUACAAACAGUGAAGUCAUUGAAGCAGCGUAUCGUGCCAAGCAGACACAGACCCCUGGUAAAUUCCAGUCUUCCUUUACUGGAACAAAGAAGAAUCCUGAACAGAGAGUAGCCUAUUUCGGAGAGGACAUUGGAAUGAACACUCACCACGUUACCUGGCACAUGGAAUUCCCAUUCUGGUGGCAAGACAGUUACAGUCAUCAUCUGGACCGCAAAGGAGAGAACUUCUUCUGGGUACAUCAUCAACUUACCGUUCGCUUUGAUGCCGAACGUCUAUCUAAUUACUUGGAUCCCGUGGUGAACUUCACUGGGAUAAACCCAUCGUACAAGGUUUUGCUCCCCACACCACUUACAAGUAUGGCGGUCAGUUCCCCUCUCGUCCAGAUAAUGUAGACUUCGAGGAUGUGGACGGUGUUGCCCGAAUUCGAGAUCUGCUCAUUGUUGAGAGCCGAAUUCGUGAUGCCAUUGCCCACGGAUACAUUGUUGACAGGGCUGGCAAUCGCAUUGACAUCAUGAAUGAGCGUGGUAUUAAUGUCCUCGGAGAUAUCAUUGAAUCAUCAAUGUACAGUCCUAAUGUCCAAUACUACGGGGCGUUGCAUAACACUGCCCAUAUUGUACUCGGACGACAGGCCGAUCCACAUGGAAAAUACGCCUUACCACCUGGUGUGCUAGAACAUUUCGAAACUGCCACCCGUGAUCCCAGUUUCUUCAGGCUACACAAAAUAUGGAUAAUAUCUUCAAGGAACAUAAGGAUUCCCUUCCUCCAUACACUAAGGAACAACUGACAUUCAAUGGGUUAGUAUUGAGAACCUAUCCGUUGACGGUGAAUUAGAGACCUUCUUUGAAGACUUCGAGUACAGUCU